CCUACGGGAGGCAGCAGUGGGGAAUUUUGGACAAUGGACGCAAGCCUGAUCCAGCCAUUCCGCGUGCAGGACGAAGGCCUUCGGGUUGUAAACUGCUUUUGUACAGAACGAAAAGGUCUCUAUUAAUACUAGGGGCUCAUGACGGUACUGUAAGAAUAAGCACCGGCUAACUACGUGCCAGCAGCCGCGGUAAUACGUAGGGUGCAAGCGUUAAUCGGAAUUACUGGGCGUAAAGCGUGCGCAGGCGGUUAUAUAAGACAGAUGUGAAAUCCCCGGGCUCAACCUGGGAACUGCAUUUGUGACUGUAUAGCUGGAGUGCGGCAGAGGGGGAUGGAAUUCCGCGUGUAGCAGUGAAAUGCGUAGAUAUGCGGAGGAACACCGAUGGCGAAGGCAAUCCCCUGGGCCUGCACUGACGCUCAUGCACGAAAGCGUGGGGAGCAAACAGGAUUAGAUACCCUGGUAGUCCACGCCCUAAACGAUGUCAACUGGUUGUUGGGUCUUCACUGACUCAGUAACGAGCUAACGCGUGAAGUUGACCGCCUGGGGAGUCGGCCGCAAGGUUGAAACGUCAAAUGAAUUGAGGGCGNGAGACGNGCGAGGACGACGACGAGGGGAGGAGG
rnacentral:rRNA from 1 species